rnacentral:rRNA from 1 species
GUAGGGAAUUUUCGUCAAUGGGGGGAACCCUGAACGAGCAAUGCCGCGUGAGUGAGGAAGGUCUUCGGAUCGUAAAGCUCUGUUGUAAGAGAAAAACGGCACUCAUAGGGAAUGAUGAGUGAGUGAUGGUAUCUUACCAGAAAGUCACGGCUAACUACGUGCCAGCAGCCGCGGUAAUACGUAGGUGGCGAGCGUUAUCCGGAAUGAUUGGGCGUAAAGGGUGCGUAGGUGGCAGAUCAAGUCUGGAGUAAAAGGUAUGGGCUCAACCCGUACUGGCUCUGGAAACUGAUCAGCUAGAGAACAGAAGAGGACGGCGGAACUCCAUGUGUAGCGGUAAAAUGCGUAGAUAUAUGGAAGAACACCGGUGGCGAAGGCGGCCGUCUGGUCUGGAUUCUGACACUGAAGCACGAAAGCGUGGGGAGCAAAUAGGA